rnacentral:rRNA from 1 species
UACGGAGGGGGCUAGCGUUGUUCGGAAUCACUGGGUGUAAAGGGUGCGUAGGCGGUCUGUUAAGUCUGAUGUGAAAUCCCUGGGCUCAACUCAGGAAUGGCAUUGGAAACUAGCAGGCUAGAGUACCGGAGAGGGAAGCGGAAUUCCUGGUGUAGCGGUGAAAUGCGUAGAUACCAGGAGGAACACCGGUGGCGAAGGCGGCUUCCUGGACGAGUACUGACGCUGAGGCACGAAAGCGUGGGGAGCGAACGGG